UUGGUAAAGGGGUGACCCCUGGCUUCACGCAUGAAAUGAAGGGAUUAUGCCUAAACCCCAAUUCCUUUUCUUCUCUUCCAACGGCAGCAGUGGUUCCAUUCACACUGAUAGAGGAAACCAGUGACGAUGGACAAAGCUUAUGUGGACGAAGGUCGAUAUCUUUGGCAUAGAAUCACUCAUACCCGCGGUGGAUUAGAGGAACCAAAGAGAAUCAUCUUCUCUUCUCCGCGACGACUUUGAUUCGGACCAGUGGAGGGAGACGAUGGUGGCCAAAGAGAUUUCAACGGCUGAAACUAAGCCAUCCAAGGAACCAUGAUGAUGACUCGAUUGAUGAAUGUGGCAACCGCGAUGGGAACCACUGGUUAUCAUGGAGGUUUGAAAAAAAGGUAAUCAUCUUCUACAUUUUACUUUCUUUAGUCGUGAACCCUUAUCCUUUGCUAUAUGUUUUUAAUUUAUUUCUUAUAGCUUGUCGCUCUCAUAAAGGCUUAUUAAGGUAAAGGAAGAAGGUGUAUGGUGGACGGCUUGGGUUAUCACCGGUGGGAGAAGGUUGUGAUUCGUGGCCAUCGAGUCUUCUUCUCCAUUCUCCUCGUCUUGCUUGGGGUUCAUUUCCAGUCGAGCUAAUCUGUUCCUUAUGUGGAUAGCUUCAACGACGGGGAUGGCUAUGGUUGUCUCCCCUUCCCAUGUUAAUCCAAGUCGGUCCAAGCUUGUAAAGGACAUAGAAAUGUCUUUCAAGAUGUUUCGGUCACCACAUCGAGGCGACAAGCAGUGCUGCGAGAGAUAUGAUGCCUCUGACUGUAAUUAGAGGCUAGGUUGUUCGAAGUUCAUUUGAUAUAUAUGACAUAAAGUGGAUAUAGAUGUAUUUGCUGAUAGUUGUUUAGAUGGAUAGAAUGAAAUGCUUACCUGAAAGUACACCUUUAGUUUUAUCCUUUAAACUUGGAAUUUUUGUUUCUGGAUAUUCCUGGCACCCUCCAUGACUUGAAUUCUUCACUCCUUUUGGUACCUCUGAUUGCUUCUCCUUUAUGUUCUAAAUGUUGUGUUCUAUGAUUGCGUGAUAUCUAGCAGAUGCUUGUGUAUAAUAUACGUUCUUGUCUUCUCUGUUGUGUUCAUAUGGAAUGAUGAAAUGUAGUCAAUAUGUUAUGUGUAUAGGUUGUUCUCUCAUUGCUAUGUGAUAUAUUGUAUGAUAAGUGUAUGAUGUAUUCUCUUGUUACUUGUGAUCUCCAUGUGUAAUCUCCUUUAUAUAGCUGGUGAUGGGUCUUUUAUUGAUUUGUGGAACCCCUUGGGUUACCAAGAAAUGUAACGUACCCUGAUUAUUCCCUUUUAAGGCAGCCCAUUACUGCUACCAAUUAUGUUGAUUGUAACUGACAUGACAAUAACUCUAAUUUGAUUAACUACCUCCCAUGUAUAACUCUUGGCUGAGUUCUAACUGAAAGGAGAGAUGCCAACAGCCAAGAAUCCUUGUUAACAUCCUCUCAAUUGCUUCUUUUGAAAUUCCUCUAUUGUGAUUCUCAAUUGAUUCCUCAUUGAAUUAAUCUGAAUAUCAUUUCAUGACUGACCCAAUGUGUGACUACUUGUAAAAGAAAUCUGAUCUCUAAACUCUCUUUGCAGGAACUAAUCGCGGAGACAUCACUGCUACCGCUAGAGAUAUUAGGAUCAUUCUUGUUGAAGGACAUAAGUUUAUGUGAUGUGAUGUGCACCUUCUUUGGUGACUAGAGCAUUAACACUUUCAGAGAUAUUCUUCAACACCUUGCCACUACUCCAUGGGUCCAAUAGGCCAUUUGAGAAAAUGAUAUUGCUUCUGAAUUUCUUCAAAGUGGCAAGAAUAUUAUGACUACUACAUUCCGUGUGAUCCAUCAUGGCCUUGACUUCAGUGUUAAAUAUUUCCUGAUGAUUGGUGAAAUACCAAUCCUAGGAUCUUAAUAUCAUGAUUCUCACACAUAAUAUAAAACAAGGAUAUAAAGCCAUACCUGAAUCCUUGAAUCUAUGUUCUCUGAUCUACUCCUUUGAUAUACCUUUUGAGAGAGUUUUGGUAUGACGGUCUUCCUCAACCAAAUCCUUAAUUUCUUUUGGGACCUUUGUUUUCUCUCUGAUGGGGAGAUGUGAAAAUUAUUUGCGAUUUGGUGUAUUGGGGACCAUAACCUUCCUAUUGUGUUAACUUAUAGGGUUCCGAUUAUCCCAUAUAGGUUAACCUGAUGGGUAACUAAUAAUUAGAUCACUUAUAAUGUAACCCCCGAAAUAAAUGGUUGAUAUCAUUGUAUCAAAUAUAUGAUGCUCACCUUAAGUAGAAAUUAUAAAUUUCUAACAAUCUCCCACUUGGGCUUCAUAUCUUCCUGAUACAAUUAUAUCACAGGUUCUUUAGGUGCGCAUCCAUAUACUAUUUACAUUUGACUUCUCUUUAAUACAAUAUGGUCCAUCUCAUAUAUUAAUUAUGGAACCGCCACGACUUUCAUAACAUGCUAG
rnacentral:lncRNA from 1 species